rnacentral:tRNA from 1 species
GUUCCUAUACCUUAUUUAGAGGAUAGCAUUGAAGCUGCUAACGAGAAAAAAUUAUAAAGUUCUGGGAAUA